GUAAAAUAGUACUAGAUGAUGAUAAGUUGCCAAUUCCAAAUGAAGAAUUUAAUCCUGUGAAUAAGUCUACCAUUUUGAAUUCUUCAGAAGAGAUUAAACAUAUCAACAUUGAUGAAAUAAUGACAAAGAUGAACAAAACAGGUCAUGUUCCUAUUAAUCCACCAGAUGAAACAGAGAAAAAUUCUGCCUUGACUGCUCGAAACAAUCAAGUUUUUCAUGAUCAACCGUCUUUUAAAAUCUAGGAUUCUGAUGAUGACCUCCAUCAUGAAAAUGAUGAUUUCAAAAAAGAAAUUACACCUGCUCAUCUUGUAGAUUCAUAUCAAGUUAUUCCUGAUUCAUACUCCCCAAAUCCUGUUUUAAGAAAUAAGAUCACUCCAAGAAAGUUGUCUCAAACUUUUGCUGCUGCUGUUGAAAGCCCAAUAAUCUGUUCAGACAGUCCGGAUAAGAUGUACAUGGUGACACUUGAAAAUUCAACUUCUCCUAAUGCUUCUCUCAAUGAAAACAAAGAAAAUGAAAAAGUUUGUCACAUCAUAAAGGUAUG